GCUAUAUAUGCACCCUUUGGGUGUUCAAAACGUCAUAUCCCACAUCACAGCAGUCAACAAUUGUUAAGUAUUCAUGCCAGCUGAAUGUAGAAGCCAUUGAACCACAGUCUGGUAAAUAAAGAGAUCUUCCUCUGUUUUGAUUUGCUUAUGCACAAGUGUGUAUUUUUCAGUGGCAAUCAGCAGUGUCCUUGGAAAGUUGGGUUGUGCUAUUAAAGCGUCCACAAGCGUCAACAAGUUGUACACAUAUUUUUAAGUUGAAAAAAAAGAUGUUCACAGUUCUCAGUGGGCUCCUAAUUAAAUUUUUUUUUCCAACGUAUAACAAUAUUUAAAAUUAUGUUUAAAAGUUUACCUUUAGGCAAAAAAGUGCAACAAUGGUGCCGUUUUUUCAGCGAAACUGACCGCUAUCCUGUUUUUCUGGGAUAUGUUAUGUGCAAAACCAUGUGCAAAACAAAUUGCCGCCGAAAAAAAAGGACCGUAAAUUGUUGAGCUAAAAGAUCCUUUUUUUUUGUGGGAUUGUGAACGUGAAUUUCUCCUAUUUCUUACGUAAUACAAGUAUGAAAGUCUAUUGAAUAUGAUUAUAGCUUUUUUGAAGCUCAAAAGUACAUUUUGAGCUCGUUUAUGUUUUGUUGGCACUAAUCGUGUUUGUUGAUGCUUGUUGACGCUUAUUAGCAUGACCGGACUGCUUAGUACUUACUGUACUAAGGAAACCAGGGUUUCGCGUGAAGAUUUUUGGAGAUUCGAUUACCAGAUUCCCGCCCCAUUAUCUCGACUUGUUUGUUCCAGAAUUAUUACAAAACCAGAGAGCACCAUUUUGCGUCUCGCGAAACCUUGCUCAAGACAUUUCACUUUUAGUGAUGAGCCGCAUCUUGUACAGGCUGAUGACCAGGCGCAGAUGCAUCGAAUGUCAGCCUGAACAUGCUGAAGUGCCACCUCCGUGUGCUCCACUUGAAGUGGUAGACCCUCAUCAACACCCUGAAUCCCCCAGAUGCCCCCGCCUUCAAAAAUGCCACCUACUGCCAAGUCUCCAAAGGAUUCUGCAAGCUUCAUCAAGACAAGUGAGACGCCACAAGAUGCCAUCCAAGUCAGCCGUAAAGAUGAAGCUGUCUCGAUAUAAAAUAUACUUGGAUGGAGACGAGGAAGAAAAUGAUUUUUUUUGUAGGUGUAUUGGGUUUUCUCGAAAGGUGUUUCCCACCCAUGCUCUUCCAAUAUCUCCUCAGUCAGUCUGCAGCAAUUUCAUACCUUACUUGCUUUCUCCUUCAUCAUUUCCAAGUGUUGCGUCUCUCCAUCCACUCCAGCUACACACCAGAAAAGUCUAGGGAAAAAAAUUAAUCUCUGUGUGCAUUUUACGCUUUUAAACAGUGUAGGCCUAGAGCAAUUUCCUCUCACAAUUUUUUGAUGUUUUUAAUACUUGUUUUUCAGUUGAUUAUAAAGAGGACAUCUAUGAUUUCCCACUUUGUAAAAUUCAUUAAAAGUUAUUGUGAAAGCAA